rnacentral:rRNA from 1 species
ACUCAAAUGAAUUGACGGGGACCCGCACAAGCAGUGGAGCGUGUUGUUCAAUUCGAUACAAAACGAAAAACCUCACCAGGGUUUGACAUGUAUCUGCAAAUUCGGUGAAAGCCGAACUCUUUCGAAGGUGAUACACAGAUGCUGCAUGGCUGUCGUCAGCUCGUGGCGUGAGCUGUUACAUUAAGUUGUGAAACGAGCGCAACCCUCACCAUAUGUUAAAUAAUUCAUAUGGAACAGCCCCGAUUCGUCGGGGAGGAAGGCGAGGAUGACGUCAAGUCAGCACGGCUCUUACACCCUGGGCUACAAACACACUACAAUGGCGAAAAACAACGAGUUGCAAGCUAGUAAUAGCAAGCUAAUCUCUGAAAUUUCGCCCCAGUUCAGAUUGAGGGCUGCAAUUCGCCCUCAUGAAGUCGGAAUUGCUAGUAAUCGCGGAUCAGCAUGCCGCGGUGAAUACGUUCUCGGGUCUUGUACACACCGCCCGU